GCGGGCUGAAGGCGGGCAGCUCCGCCUCGGCGUGGCUGGGGCUGCGUGAGGGGAAUGUGGCGCCGGCGGCCUGAGCUCAACACACAAGACCUGUGUGGAGAGACUACGUCCAUACUGAUGGUGCAGAGUACUCCCUCCUCCCUGCUGCUGUUUGGUGUGGUGGGCACAGGAAGACCCUUCCCACACCUGACUCCAACCUGAAUGGACACAAUCCUGGGCAGCAUCCUGUUGUGGCUGACCUUCCUUUGGAGUAAGCAACCUCCAGAGCUUCCUGCCAACCUCAGCCUUCCUGGGAUUCCCAACUGGAAGGCUAAAAACAAAGUCUGAGUGCUCAGUGUGCCAGCAAUACCCAUUUCCAGACCAAAGGGACUCUCAGUUGCUUCUCAGAGCCCUGAGCAGUGCUGCUGUGAUUCCAGGCUGUGCUCUAACAUCUCUCCCCAGAAGCAGACCUGGAAGGCUGCAGGUCACAGUCAGACAGGCAAACCCCACAGGGCUCACAGCUACCCAGAUGAUGCUCCCAUCUCAGCCAGAGCCCACAGGGAGCAAGCCAGAGGGAAAAGGGUUCUACCUAUUUCUGCCCACCCUCUGCCCAUUAGCACUGCUGCUCACACAGAGCAGGUGUCUCAGAGCUGUUCUUAUGUAACAAACUAUGCCUGGAAAACAUAAUGAAGUCAUUUGAUCUCUAAUUUGCACUUGUUGGGGUGAGCUAUCACUGAAUAAUCACAGGGAAAGAGGAUGAGAUUUGGGCUCGUGUCUCCUGGCAGUGCUGGCCCAGAGCAUGGAGUGCAGUGGGACCAGAGACCACCCCGUGUUUCAGGGGGGUGAGCUGCAGCUGCAGCCCUGCACACUGUGCCUCAGCUUCCCAGCCCUGGGAUCUGUCCAGUCUGGCCUCACAGGGUGUUUGCUGUGUGGUGGUUGUCUCUGAAUAAACAUGCUUUUUAUUUCC